UCAUUCACCAUAAAAGAACUCACCUUAACCCGAAACCAGAUGGGACAGCAAAGCACACCCUUGUACUCCAAGUCCUCCCUGUUCUACUUGGAGAUGACCCCAGUAACUUCUACAAGACCUGCUUGGUUACGGACACUGAUGAGGCCUGGGAACAAGUAUCUGUUGGGGUGCUGACUGUCAUCGAGGAAGAUGAGCCAAACACGCC